AUUAGGCAAUCUGGCUGCAACACCUGUCACCCCACCGAUCGCCAGGGUUGACUGGCGGAUCUGGCUGGUUAGGCAGGUAAGUGUCCCCUUCCUCCCUCACAGUUUCAUGUGUGUCCCUCCUGAAGCUGCGUGCUCGUUUGAAGAGGACGACCUUCCCCAGUAGAGGAGGACUGUUUUUCAAUCAAGGGUAUUGGAGUAGCUGGGCUCCCCUGCUAGGACUUCCAAACAAGCUCUCAAGAGUCUCCUGUGUACCGGGCACUGGGCGUGGCAUUGGGAUGCACUGACUACAUACAGUAAAUGUGUUUAUCACACAAAUAUCU
rnacentral:snRNA from 1 species